GACAGAGGCCUCAAGCGUUUAGGUGGAAUCACUGGGCUUAAAAGCGUGUGUAGGCGGAUCGUUAAGUGUCUUGUGAAAUCCCACGGCUCACCCGUGGAACUGCUGGGCAUACUGGCGAUCUUGGGCCAACUAGGGGCAACUGGAACAAGCGGUGGAGCGGUGAAAUGCGUAGAUAUCGCUUGGAACGCCAAAGGUGAAAACAGGUUGCUGGGGUUGU
rnacentral:rRNA from 1 species